AGCCUUAAGGUAAUUAUUUAAGGUCAGACCUGCCCAGUGUAAGAAGAUGUAUAAAUGGCCGCGGUACUUUGACCGUGCUAAGGUAGCGCAAUCAAUUGGUUUUUAAAUGGAGCCAGGUAUGAAUGGAGUUACGGGGUUUUUCUGUCUCCUAGCUAAUUUAUCGAAGUUACUAUGUAGGUGAAAAAGCCUAUGAAAAGAAAAAGGACGAGAAGACCCUUAGAGUUUU
rnacentral:rRNA from 1 species